ACUUUCAUUUGGGGUUUGACGUUUGUUUACCCCCUCCACAACUGGGCCCAGAUCAGCCCGAUCUCAUGACUAAAUCCGAUCCGAUCCUCCAAAAAAAUGCCAGAUCAGCAGCCAGUAUUGAUC